rnacentral:rRNA from 1 species
GAGAUGAGUAUNCGUCUAUUAGCUAGUAGGUGUGGUAACGGCACACCUAGGCUACGAUAGAUAGGGGNCCUGAGAGGGNGAUCCCCNACACUGGUACUGAGACACGGACCAGACUCCUACGGGAGGCAGCAGUGAGGAAUAUUGGACAAUGGGCGAAAGCCUGAUCCAGCCAUGCCGCGUGCAGGAUGACUGCCUAUGGGUUGUAAACUGCUUUUAUAUAGGAAGAAAAACUUUCUCGUGAGAAAGCUUGACGGUACUAUAAGAAUAAGGANCGCU